UUGUAUAAAUAUAUCACCAAACUGGGCUUUGAUCCCAUCAGAUAUCACAAGCCAAAUAGGGUUGGGUCAAGUCAGUACUUGUACGGGAGGCUUCAGAGGAAAACUCAUGUACUGUAGAAA
rnacentral:rRNA from 1 species